GUGGGCAGGGCGGGUGCUAUACAUGCAGUCGAGCGAAUGGAUUAAGAGCUUGCUCUUAUGAAGUUAGCGGCGGACGGGUGAGUAACACGUGGGUAACCUGCCCAUAAGACUGGGAUAACUCCGGGAAACCGGGGCUAAUACCGGAUAACAUUUUGAACUGCAUGGUUCGAAAUUGAAAGGCGGCUUCGGCUGUCACUUAUGGAUGGACCCGCGUCGCAUUAGCUAGUUGGUGAGGUAACGGCUCACCAAGGCAACGAUGCGUAGCCGACCUGAGAGGGUGAUCGGCCACACUGGGACUGAGACACGGCCCAGACUCCUACGGGAGGCAGCAGUAGGGAAUCUUCCGCAAUGGACGAAAGUCUGACGGAGCAACGCCGCGUGAGUGAUGAAGGCUUUCGGGUCGUAAAACUCUGUUGUUAGGGAAGAACAAGUGCUAGUUGAAUAAGCUGGCACCUUGACGGUACCUAACCAGAAAGCCACGGCUAACUACGUGCCAGCAGCCGCGGUAAUACGUAGGUGGCAAGCGUUAUCCGGAAUUAUUGGGCGUAAAGCGCGCGCAGGUGGUUUCUUAAGUCUGAUGUGAAAGCCCACGGCUCAACCGUGGAGGGUCAUUGGAAACUGGGAGACUUGAGUGCAGAAGAGGAAAGUGGAAUUCCAUGUGUAGCGGUGAAAUGCGUAGAGAUAUGGAGGAACACCAGUGGCGAAGGCGACUUUCUGGUCUGUAACUGACACUGAGGCGCGAAAGCGUGGGGGAGCAAACAGGAUUAGAUACCCUGGUAGUCCACGCCGUAAACGAUGAGUGCUAAGUGUGAGAGGGUUUCCGCCCUUUUAGUGCUGAAGUUAACGCAUUAAGCACUCCGCCUGCGGAGUAGGGCCGCAGGGCUGCAUACUCUAUGAUUGACGGAGCCCCGCGCAGCGGUGUAGCAUGUAGUUUAUUAAAACAGCGCGACCAACAUACCUAGCGUGGCUUGCAUGCGAUAAGCCUAGCGAUGAGUGUGUGUCUUCCGUUACCAGAAGUG
rnacentral:rRNA from 1 species